rnacentral:tRNA from 1 species
AAGGAUUUAAGUUAAAAAAACUUGUAACCUUCAAAGUUAAUAAUAGAUUAAACGUAUCUAAGCCUUA